UGCAGCUCAGUGGUAGAGCACCCACCUAGCAUGUGAGAAGCCCUGGGUUUGAUUCCCAGAAUUGCAG
rnacentral:tRNA from 1 species